CCAAUAGCGUAUAUUAAAGUUGUUGCAGUUAAAAAGCUCGUAGUUGAAUUUCGGGGUUAGUAGGUUGGUCAUGCCUCUGGUAUGUACUGGUCUCACUGAUUCCUCCUUCCUGAUGAACCGUAAUGCCAUUAAUUUGGUGUUGCGGGGAAUUUGGACUGUUACUUUGAAAAAAUUAGAGUGUUUAAAGCAGGCUAACGCUUGAAUACAUUAGCAUGGAAUAAUGAAAUAGGACGUUCGAUCCUAUUUUGUUGGUUUCUAGGAUUGACGUAAUGAUUAAUAGGGAUAGUUGGGGGCAUUAGUAUUCAAUUGUCAGAGGUGAAAUUCUUGGAUUUAUUGAAGACUAACUACUGCGAAAGCAUUUGCCAAGGAUGUUUUCAUUAAUCAAGAACGAAAGUUAGGGGAUCGAAGACGAUCAGAUACCGUCGUAGUCUUAACCAUAAACUAUGCCGACUAGGGAUCGGAUGAUGUUAAUUUUUUAAUGACUCAUUCGGCGCCUUACG
rnacentral:rRNA from 1 species